rnacentral:rRNA from 1 species
GACGUAGGGAGCGAGCGUUGUCCGGAAUUACUGGGCGUAAAGAGCUCGUAGGCGGGACCGUAAGUCCGAGAGGAAAUCUCAAGGCUCAACUUUGGGGCUUUCUUGGAUACUGCGGUUCUUGAGGAUGAGAGAGGUAAGUAGAAUUCCCGGUGUAGCGGUGAAAUGCGUAGAUAUCGGGAGGAAUACCAGUGGCGAAGGCGACUUACUGGCUCAUUCCUGACGCUGAGGAGCGAAAGCGUGGGGAGCAAACGGG